rnacentral:rRNA from 1 species
UGUGACCUCAAAUCAGGUAGGACUACCCGCUGAACUUAAGCAUAUCAAUAAGCGGAGGAAAAGAAACUAACAAGGAUUCCCCUAGUAACUGCGAGUGAAGCGGGAAAAGCUCAAAUUUAAAAUCUGGCAGUCUUUUGGCUGUCCGAGUUGUAAUCUAGAGAAGUGUUAUCCGCGCUGGACCGUGUACAA